CCCAUUUAACCGAAAAUUACGCGUUUUCUCAUCGAGAAACCCCCAUUUAACCCAAAAAUCACAUGUUUUCUUUUUGAGAAUCCCCCAUUUAAGCAAAAAUCACACGUUUUCCCUUUGAGAAGCUCACAUUUAAGCGAAGAUCAAGUGCUUUCUUUUCAAGAAUCCCCCAUUUAACCCCAAAAUCACGCGUUUUCUCUUUGAGAAUCACCGAGAUUACCUGAAAAUCACGCAUUUUCUCUUCAGAAAUCCCCCACUUAACACAAAAAUCACGCGUUUUCUCUUCGAGAAUCCCCCAUUUAAGCCGAAAAUCACGCGUUUUCUCUUCGACAAUCCCCCAUUUAACCGAAAAUCACGCAUUUGCUCUUCGAGAAUCCCCCAUUUAACCGAAAAUCACGCGUUUUCUCUUCGGAAAUUCCCCAUUUGAGCAAAAAUCACGCGUUUUCUCUUCGACAAUCCCCCAUUUAACCAAAAAAUCACGCAUUUUCUCUUCACAAAUCCCCCAUUUAACCCGAAAAUCACGCGUUUUCUCUUCGAGAAUCCCCCAUUUAAGCGAAAAUCACGCGUUUUCUCUUCGAGAAUCCCCCAUUUAACCCGAAAAUCACGCGUUUUCUCUUUGCAAAUCCCCCAUUUAACCGAAAAUCACGCGUUUUCUCUUCGAGAAUCCCCCAUUUAACCUGAAAAUCAUGCGUUUUCUCUUCGGAAAUAUGCCAUUUAAGCAAAAAUCACGCGCUUUCUCUUCAAGAAUCCCCCAUUAAACAAAAAAUCACGCGUUUUCUCUUCGAGAAUCCCGUUUAUCUCAAAAAUGACGCAUCUUUUCUUCUAAAAUCCCCCAUUUAAUCCGAAAAUCACGCGUUUUCUCUUUGAGAAUUUCCCAUUUAACCAAAAAAUCACGCGUUUUCUCUUCAGAAAUCCCCCAUUUAACUCGGAAAUCACACUUCUCCUCCUCGG
ensembl:lncRNA